rnacentral:rRNA from 1 species
AAUAGAUACCCGGGUAGUCCACGCCGUAAACGAUGAAUACUAGGUGUUGGGGAGCAAAGCUCUUCGGUGCCGCCGCUAACGCAAUAAGUAUUCCACCUGGGGAGUACGUUCGCAAGAAUGAAACUCAAAGGAAUUGACGGGAACCCGCACAAGCGGUGGAGCAUGUGGUUUAAUUCGAAGCAACGCGAAGAACCUUACCAAGUCUUGACAUCGGAAUGACCGUCUCGUAACGGAGACUUCCCUUCGGGGCAUUCCAGACAGGUGGUGCAUGGUUGUCGUCAGCUCGUGUCGUGAGAUGUUGGGUUAAGUCCCGCAACGAGCGCAACCCUUAUCCUUAGUAGCCAGCAGUUCGGCUGGGCACUCUGGGGAGACUGCCAGGGAUAACCUGGAGGAAGGUGGGGAUGACGUCAAAUCAUCAUGCCCCUUAUGAUUUGGGCUACACACGUGCUACAAUGGCGUAAACAAGGGAAGCGAAGGAGUGAUCUGGAGCAAAUCUCAAAAAUAACGUCUCAGUUCGGACUGUAGUCUGCAACUCGACUA